rnacentral:rRNA from 1 species
CCUACGGGUGGCAGCAGUGAGGAAUAUUGGUCAAUGGACGAGAGUCUGAACCAGCCAAGCCGCGUGAAGGAUGACUGCUCUAUGGGUUGUAAACUUCUUUUAUAUGGGAAUAAAAUGUUCCACGUGUGGGAGUUUGUAUGUCCCAUAUGAAUAAGGAUCGGCUAACUCCGUGCCAGCAGCCGCGGUAAUACGGAGGAUCCGAGCGUUAUCCGGAUUUAUUGGGUGUAAAGGGAGCGUAGGUGGGUUGUUAAGUCAGUUGUGAAAGUUCGCGGCUCAACCCUAAGAUUGCAGUUGAAACUGGCAGUCUUGAGUGCUGGAGAGGUAGGCGGAAUUCGUGGUGUAGCGGUGAAAUGCUUAGAUAUCACGAAGAACUCCGAUGGCGAAGGCAGCUUACUGGACUGCAACUGACGCUGAGGCUCGAAAGUGUGGGGAGCAAACAGGAUUAGAUACCCCAGUAGUC